UAAGUUUCAUAAUAGUUCCGCGAGAUAGCGCUGCUUUCUAUGCGCUGUCACCAAGGCAAACUUUUUCCUUGCGAAAUAAUGGUCAAUGGUAUUAUUUCGCACGGAGGCUCGCGAAAUUUUGACAGGUUGCAUUGAAAAAAUAUAAAAAAACAAAAGAUUAGUAAUUUUUUGUAUUUUUUUUUUAUCGCGACCUGUCAAAAUUUCGUAGUUUUGAGAAUCAAUAUUUUGAAUUUGAAUGCACACCCGAACAAAGCAGUCACAAGAGCAGCAUUGUUCGUCACCAGCCAUCUAUCUACUUGAUAAGUUUUCAACAACAACAACCAGGUGCUACAAAUCAGCUCAACUUGACUCAACAUCCUGGAUCUGGCAAUCAGCCAACCAACAUUAAAUCGAUACAACCGUAGCAGUACCAACAACUCCAAAUCCAGCAGCUGCCAACAAUCUCUCAAAAAAGAACCACAGCAAUUACAGCUCAGAACCAACAAAGCAACAAGAUCUUUUUUACGAAUAAUAGACCCAUCGGAAACACUUUAUCGGCACAUUCUGUCGUAAAACUUGCCUGCCACUAUUCUUACCAGCGGUUACCUUCCUGAUGUAGAGAAAUCAGAGUCAAACACAAACGUCAUAUUACUGCCUUGGCUCCUACCAGUUGCUUGCAUGAAAAUAUCGCUGCCUCCACAGUGCUCGUGAUUUCAUCCCAGCAGCAGCUAGCAACCACAAUUCCAGUGCUUAUCGCCAGCAACAUCAGAAAAUUAAGAUUUCCCCCAGACCAUGACCAUCAUCCGACAGAUCGGUAGCAACGUUCAACUGACGGUACAACCUGGCCAGCAACCGCAAGUAGUGCAAUCGAUCCAAGCCAAUCAGGGCCAAAUGUAGAAGACCAUUGGUCAACUGCAAAAAAAAGAUACAUCAACAGCACCUUCAAACACAGUAGCAGCAGCAUACUGUACUGUACCACGCCGCGUGCAGGACUUUUUUUUAUUCAGUUGGUGCAGCAAGAUCGAACAGCAACCAUAGCGGAUACACAUCACCGAACACCAGCAACAUAAUGCCAUGGUAACCACCCAGCAGCAGAACACGGCGAUAAAGGGCCAACAGUAAAUACAACAUCAAGAUCCUCGGAAAGGACUUUCUCUUUCGAACAAACAUAAUGGAAGCAUACUCUACACGCGCGACAUAUUCAAUCGGGCCAACCGUGUGACUCGUUUGGCAAAAAGGGCUCAUCAUCGGUUUCAUGGCAGCGAAGUGAGCAGACAAAAGAAGGUGUUUUUUCCGAAUGGUCGCUCUGGGCAAAAGUUCAGCUAAUUGCAAGGAACAAACCACCGGAGUGACAGUAUCCGUGCUGAUUCAGGACCUUUUUCCAUAUAUUGUAGUUUUUGAAUUUUAAUACCCGGUUGAAACGAUGGCAAGUGCUGCCGAUAACUGGGUCAAAAAGGCGGAAGGAGGAUCAGGAAAUUUCUGCACUCGGUUUUGAAUUUUUCUUUUCAAUACAAAUAGGUUGUCGAUCUGAGUAUCCCUAAGGAUAAGGAACCAGAGCCGACGGCUGACAGCCCAAAGAAAGAGAAUGCGGAAAAACCUUCUAGUUCACCGCCAGUAGAACCAGCGAUCAAAUUACUCCGGUAGAAACGGCUGCACCUGCAGUUUUGUUUUCGGUAGCUACAGAAAUUAAGACUUUAGCAGCUCCUGAAGAAAAAAAAAGCUGCUAGCGAAAAUGGAGAAACAGCUUCCUCCACGGAAGAUGCAGAGUCAUUCAACCCGGCGGAUGCAAGUUUGCUAAUUAAACUUAUUCGCAAAGGUCAAGUAGAAUCAAAGCUGGAUCUGGGGGUGAAGGAUCCUUCUUCGCCGCUAUACUUGGUUAAAACUUUCGAAGCUUUGCACAUGAAUUCGGAACUGCUUCUAUGCUAUGGGUUUCAACGCUCCUUCCAAGAUUCAGAAGACGGCUCAACCUACUCUGUUGGCCGAUCCACCACAGAACAUAAUCGCCCAGAGUUGGUCGGGAACAAGAAAAACCACUGCCUUCGUGCUGGCAAUGCUCAAUCGAGUCAAUCCGUUGAAAAACUAUCCGCAGGUGAUUUGCCUUUCCCCACGUAUGAACUGGCAAUUCAGAAGGGGAAAGUAGCUGCAAAACGGCAAAGUUUUGUGCGGAAAUCGAACUUGGUUAAACCGUUCGCGGUGAGAAGAUCGUCAAAGGGGCGAAGCUGACUAAUCAUAUCAUCAUCGGAACAGCCGGGCGUUCGACCUUAAGAAGAUUGCCAUUUUUGUAAUGGACGAGGCGGGCGUUAUGAUCGCUGUUCUUUUUAGCAACGUACGAGCGGGAGGUGAUGGGAUUCGUCCAGUACAUCGAAACCAAUCCGAUCAUGAUUCUUCUGGUGCGGGAGCAAGAAUCACUCGAUAACACCAAACACUACUACGUCAAAUGCCGCAACCAGGACGAGAAAUAUCAAGCAAUUUCAAACAUGUACGGUGUGAUUACCGUCGGACAAGCGAUCAUUUUCUGUCAUAUGAUGUAUAGGACAGUUGUAAACUCCAAGUAAACUUAUUUUCGGCAUUGUUAAUCGAUCGAAACAGGCACGCAAAACGGCCGGUUGGUUGACCGGCAGGAUGUCCCAGGAUGGUCAUUCGGUAGCGGUACUGUCCGGUGAUCUAACGGUGGAGCAACGGUUGGAACGAACGUUUUGUCCAGGGGUAAGUUCCACCACUUGAUUCUGGCUACAGCACCAGGUUACGGAGAGAUUCUUUCGUCUUAGGUAUCGACGUCGAACAGGUUACCAUUGUCGUCAACUUCGACCUGCCGAUGGAUUAGCAGGGACGAGCCGAUUGCGAAACGUAUCUACAUCGAAUUAGACGCACCGGUAGAUUCAAACGGAAUCACCAUCAACCUAGUGGGUAGUGAUCGAAGCAUGAUGAUUUGCAGAUCAAUGGAAAAACACUUCCGGAAAAAGAUUCAGUUGCUAGACGCGGAGAACUCGGACGAAAUUUAAAAGAUCGCACCGUAAAAUGUUUUCGACCAGCUACUGGUGAAAGGCGUAGGAGCUUUUUUGGGUCAUACUUGUUUUGAUUCUGAAUUUAUAAUUUUAUUAUAUUUUAAUUUUUUUUUCUUCCUUGACCUGACAUAAGGUAUACAAAUGUAACCAACAGGGUAUCGUCAAAGAGAAUAGGAAAAGAGACGAAUAGUGUGAAGCCAAAAAUACCUUAUUGAGCAAACCAAUCGUGCAAUGUAAAUAAACAUUACUCAUGCCUGAGUUGGAGGAGAUAAGUAUUGUAAAUCCAUCAAAAAAAAAUUGAAUUUUCGUCAGAAUUUAGUGCAAUCGUGAUUGUAAGGUGCAUUCUAGAGUCUAUGUAUGAGUAAAAACAAGUUUUAGAAUUAUUUCAUCUCUUUGCUUCGAAAUGCACAUCGUUUGAUAAACAAAUCCAACGAUCGACAAAAGGUUUGUUUUCAAAAUAUAAUAGGAGUCAUUUAAAGUGCUGCCUUUGGAAACGGUUGCCAAAUUCUAGUGUUGAAAUCAUCGUAAAGGGAGUGUUGCCGUUUUGACUGAUUUUCACUCUGCGUCUCUUUCACUAUUCUCUUUGGGUAUCGUAAGCUAAUAAAUUUACAAUUACAAUUACAAUUUAUCUCUACCCAGUUCUAUCCAAACAUUUGAAAAGGGCCUAACUGCAAAAUGUAACAAAUUGAAAUUUCAUGUUUUCCAUUAACGAAUAUCUACCCGAGCACGUACAUAACGCAACAUUUGAUUAUAAAGAAUUUUGAUAGCGAUUUUACAACAAUUUAUAAAAGGGCCUAAUUGAUUUUUAUGACCGAACUGAUUAUGAAAGGACCUAGCUGAUUGAAAAGUGCCUAACUAGCAAUACACUCGUUUUAAAUGGAUUAUAACGUAUUAUUGUAUUAUGACUGAUUGUAAAAGGCUUAUAACAUCUUUUCCAUAAUUUACAUACAGGGCCAAUCUGAUUUUAUGAUGUUCAGUGGGGUCAAUCUGACCAUCAAUUUAGAAUUCAGUUAAUUCGUCUAACUUUCGGUGUAAUAUCAGACUUGAACAGCAUUUUUUGUGUGAGGUAUUCUGCCGCUAGAAGCAAAACUGUCCCAUGUGCUAUGGGAAUCCCUAUACACAUGGGACAAUUAUACUUCUUGCGGCAGUAAUACAAGUAGUAGCAAUAUGCGCAAUUCCUUAAACCUCUCUAGUGUUUCAUGCAAUAAGAAUUACCACGAAUUACUUAUGGCAAUAAAUUUGAAUUACGAUUCUCACAAUUGUUAUACCAAAAAUAGGUUUGUAUCCGUACUGAUUUUUGGUAGCAUUCCCUGAGACUUCCAGAACCUUUAGUAGUAGCACAGAUAACAGACGUUUAGGCUCGAUUUGAAUCGUGUGUAAAUACCCGCUGCUGAAAUUCCGAAUAAAUCAGAUAUCUGAAACAUGUUUGGCAAACGUUUGCAGAUGGCGCAGUGAUCACUACAAUGCAGUUAGAGUGCAGCUGUCGAACACGUGUAGCAAACAGUUGCGCAGAUGGCAAUAGUGAAACACGGAUUUUCAACGUAUAUCAAUUUGAAAGUUUACACAGGUUUUUGAAGAAAUUUUGUUCUAGCCUAAACGUCUGUUAUCUGUGGUAGUAGCCAUUGUUAUCAUAAUCGAUUUUUAACGUCAGCCAGAGUUUAAAGCCUAGGGUUUGGUUCGACCUGAAACCGAUUGAGUCGGAGUCGGUUGUUAUA